rnacentral:rRNA from 1 species
GAUGAACGCUGGCGGCAUGCCUAACACAUGCAAGUCGAUCGGUAAGGCUCUUCGGAGUACACGAGAGGCGGACGGCUGAGUAACGCGUAGGAACACACCCUGCAGUGAGGGAUAAGACACCCAAAGGUGUUCUAAUACCGCAUACGGUCUUCGGAUUAAAGCAUUUAUGCGCUGAAGGAGUGGCCUGCGUCAUAUUAGAUAGUUGGUGAGGUAAUGGCUCACCAAGUCGAUGAUGUGUAGCUGGUCUGAGAGGAUGAUCAGCCAGACUGGAACUGAGACACGGUCCAGACUCCUACGGGAGGCAGCAGUGAGGAAUAUUUCACAAUGAGCGAAAGCUUGAUGGAGCAAUGCCGCGUGCAGGAUGAAGGCCCUCGGGUUGUAAACUGCUUUUAUAAGAGAAGAUUAUGACGGUAACUUAUGAAUAAGGGACGGCUAACUACGUG